ACUUCCACCAAAAUGGAUUGGACUCUGUACAUUAGUGCGAAUGAAAGUGUCAGUUGUCGUGUUGUAUGACGGCGUCGAGGAGAUCCUUAAAAUCCAGGGAGAAACAGCCAAAUUGAACCGCCACAAAGGGCAGAUUGACGAACAGGUGUACAUCAAUAGUAUAGGAGUGCCAAUAGGAAUUCCAGAGGAGUUUAAAGCUCAGGACGAGAUCAGAGCAGGUCUAGAGUCGAUUCUGCCCUGGAUCACCACUAAUAAAAAUGUCCAAUGGAUAAAUUACAUUUAUUACAACCAACAGAGAUUUGUUAAUGCGACAUCUGAAAUCCUGAGCGCUCUUGGUAGUCAAUUACACGCAGCAAGUAUAAUGGCCCAACAAAAUAGACAGGUUUUGAAUUGGCUGACAGCGGAUAGGGGAGGAGUAUGUCACAUGUUCGGGAAACAUUGUUGUACCUUUAUUCCAAAUAACACAGCCCCUGAUGGUAUAUUUUCUGUGGCAAUGGGGAAGCUUACAGAACUCAGAGUUGAGCUAAGGGAGAGUGCGGGCAAGGGGGGACUGUCAUGGGAUUGGUUUGACCAAAUUUUAGGAAAAUGGGGAGCCGUUUGGGCUAAGAUAGGACUCAGUGCACUAGCAGUCCUAAUUGUAAUUUCCUUUUUGAUAUGUUGCAUCAUCCCCAUCCUGAGGAGGCAGUGUCUGCGGGCUCUGGAAAAACAGAUGACUGUGGUGACUGGUCUCCAAAGAGCUCAAAUGUUGAACUUGCUGACGCCGUCCCAAAUGGCACAACUCUGCUUGGACGACAGCAGGGCAGGAAACGGGGACUAUCCGGACUUAUACCCAAACCCUGCCUGUGUGGGUGACUCUGAUGAGGACGAACAGAGUCAAGUGUAAGGUAAACAAGAAGCAGAGGUGCAGCAGCAGCGAGCAAGCAAAAGGAAAAGCAAAUGGGACGGCGGAGCAAAUGGACUAUCACAUCAAUACACACAUAUUCUGUUGUUAUCCAUGUGUAUUCUGCAUACUCACAUCAUUUACACAUACUCAUUCCAGGUAAAUGGAAACAGGUAAAGGAAAUGGUUAAUCAUUUUUUGAGCAAGAUAAAACAUGUGGUUGAUUGUCAUGUAGAGUGGGUCAGUAAAAAAGCUGUUAGAUUUAGAAGGUUCACGGUGGAGGUCGCCAGCGGGAGGGGCCGCAGGGGAAUUUCCUGCUCAAAGCAGCCAGCAGGUUUUCGCCCCUGCCAGAUGUGAACCAAGUCACAAGUGGUUUAAGUGUUGUGUUUAUGAAAAUGUAACAUUCGUGAUAACAAGCAUGAGUUGGAUUGGUUUGAGAACGUACAUAUGCAUCUGUAAUCAAUCUAGUAGUAUCAUAUCACAUAACGUCAUAACUCAUUCAUGUAACGUAACUAAGGCUAAGACAAGAUAAGUGUGAAUCUCCAACGAUGUCAUUGAACUCGUUUAAUCUUGAAAAGAUUCAAAGGGGGGAUAUGUGGGGGAAAAUAACAGAUGUGGUUGGAUGUUUUGGAGGUUGCUAUGAGGCAAGAAAACAGGACUGCAACACAGUCAUGGUGAACUGUGUUGCAAUGACAUAAACUUUAUCAGGGUGGGAUAAACUGUGUUGCGAUAACAUAAACUCUAUCAGGUUAGGAUAAACUGUGUUGCAAUAACAUAAACUUUAUCGGGUCAUGGUGAACUGUGGUGCAAUAACAGGAAUUUGGUUUCAAGAGGUAGUGGCGAGGGAGAAGUCACGUAGGGAGCUCUCCCACGGGAAAGUGAUACACACACGAAGGUAGCUUCGCACACACAUUUGGCAAAAGUUGGGAUCAGUGACGUCAAUGGAGUACUAUAAGAGAUCUGUGGUUUUCUGUUCUG